GAAGUUUCAGGCAAUAGAUUUCAUCAGUUGCUGCUACAAAGUUGUCCAGUGUCUGUCUAGUAUCUACCAAUCACCGAAGAUGAAGAGUACCCUUGUCAUCGUGCUGUUGGCGACUUGCGCCAGUCUCUGGAUGGUUCAUGCCGGGCCGGUAUUUAUCGACGAUGGAUCCAACGUGCAAGCAAGAAGUAGUGACCCCGUCAUUGGGAAUUGGAAGAAACCAUCAGAUACCAAUGUGCCCGAACCGAAAACUAAAUUUGGUGGGAAUCACGCCCAAUCAGUUGUAUUUUAAAGACCUAUGAUGAAAUAGUCAUUAGUAUCGGGUAGAGAAAAUUCCCACAGCAAGCUGAGGACACGCGCCUCCUGGACUCCCAAUACUCUAUGACGGGCUUACACAGUUACAUGUACAUGCUUGUACACAAUUGAAUGCACUUAUGCGUGUGUGUACUUGCAUGUACAUGUUUAUGUAUUUGAUUACAACAUACCAAUAAAGACCAUUAAAUUGAAA